rnacentral:rRNA from 2 species
ACUAACAAGGAUUCCCCUAGUAACUGCGAGUGAAGCGGGAAAAGCUCAAAUUUAAAAUCUGGCAGUCUUUGGCUGUCCGAGUUGUAAUCUAGAGAAGUAUUAUCCGCGCUGGACCGUGUACAAGUCUCCUGGAAUGGAGCGUCAUAGAGGGUGAGAAUCCCGUCUUUGACACGGACUGCCAGGGCUUUGUGAUGUGCUCUCGAAGAGUCGAGUUGUUUGGGAAUGCAGCUCAAAAUGGGUGGUAAAUUCCAUCUAAAGCUAAAUAUUGGCGAGAGACCGAUAGCGAACAAGUACCGUGAGGGAAAGAUGAAAAGAACUUUGGAAAGAGAGUUAAACAGUACGUGAAAUUGCUGAAAGGGAAACGCUUGAAGUCAGUCGCGUUGGCCAGGGAUCAACCUUGCUUUUUUGCUUGGCUUACUUUCUGGUUGAUGGGUCAGCAUCAAUUUUGACUGGUGGAAAAAGUUCAAGGGAAUGUGGCAUCUUCGGAUGUGUUAUAGCCUUUGUUCACAUAUAUCAGUUGGGAUUGAGGAACUCAGCACGCCGCAAGGCCGGGUUUUUAACCACGUACGUGCUUAGGAUGCUGGCAUAAUGGCUUUAAUCGACCCGUCUUGAAACACGGACCAAGGAGUCUAACAUGCCUGCGAGUGUUUGGGUGAAAAACCCGAGCGCGUAAUGAAAGUGAAAGUUGAGAUCCCUGUCAUGGGGAGCAUUGACGCCCGGAUCUGACCUUUUGUGACGAUUCUGCGGUAGAGCAUGUAUGUUGGGACCCGAAAGAUGGUGAACUAUGCCUGAAUAGGGUGAAGCCAGAGGAAACUCUGGUGGAGGCUCGUAGCGAUUCUGACGUGCAAAUCGAUCGUCAAAUUUGGGUAUAGGGGCGAAAGACUAAUCGAACCAUC